CAGGGAAUAGUUUAAGGAGAAUUU
rnacentral:tRNA from 1 species